ensembl:lncRNA
AGUGAAGGAUCUCUGUCUGGAGAUCCAUCUUCUGUGCUGUUUCCUCUGUGAACCUAGGUCCUCAGAGACAGUUUCAUCUAAAAGAGGGCAACCCAAGACAGCAUUCAGUAUGGCCUGUAGACGCCUGGAUGCAGGAUACCCUAAUUGUAAUUGAAAUUUUAAAAAGAAAAAGGGAGAGAAAUUCAAGUAAAUUAAAAAUGUGUGAUACAUCAUGAAGUGGAGCUCAUAUGCGGUAAAGGCAUUGCUCAACAAGGUAGUAAAGAAAACAUCUUGCAUCGCAAUUCAUUUCAUUUCCCUAUGGACUUUAGUAGAUUCCACAACAAGACCCUGAUACUUAAUUGCCAAUCAAAUGUAAGUUAGUUCUACCUUUAAAACUCCUAUUAUCACAAAUUACAAAUUCAAAGCAAUUCCAAAAAGUUUCUGGAGGGGACUGGCAGGGAAGAAAAACAAAGAUGUUCAUAUAGGUGGCUAGUGAUAAGAAUUGUGGUGAUCCUACACCAAGUUGUUAAAUCUGAAAUGUAAAGGAGGUUUUAUUUUUAUUUGAAGAGUUUAGGGCAGAGAACAUAGGGACAGAAAUGGGUCAGCUCUUUUGUGCACUGACACAAUUCAUAGCUCAGUUAUCUUAAUCCCUCAGGUUGCAGAAGACAAAUGUAACAGCUGUUACCUAAAUCAUCUGAAAUAUACUCACAGUGCACAUGGCAAAGUUCCAAAGAUAAGCCAGAUGCAGUGCUGGAGCUAAACACCGAUGCAACUCUUACUGAACAAGCUCUACCAUUUUGAGUUUCCAAAGACUUUUUAGCAUCUGUAGACAUACAUGGCAUCCAAAUGAGUUUUUUAAGGAUUAACAUCUGUUUAAGAAAUUGAAGCUGAUUACUAUUUAUGAUGAUUUAUUUUAAUAAGUUCUCCAUGCUCGUGAUGGUAUGUAUCGUGUCACAUAUUAAUACUAAUGCAACAGCUAUAAGGAUGAUGUUGGAUAAAGGCAGACUUGAUUAGUAUCACAGACAUGGCAUUUUGGUCUUUCUAUGUGCUUCCAUUUAAACUUGAUACACGCUACAGAUGUGCUUCCAUCAGAUUUCUUAUGUGCAUCCUAAGGCCUCUUGUAAAUGUGGCCCUUCAUGUCAACAUUCUUUUUUACUUUGAAGCUACUUUGCAAAGGCAUGUAGUCAGAAUAGUUCAAGGCUAGAAACUAACAGGAAUAAAAAUGGAUCCGAGAUCCUUUCCAAUGAGAGAUUACUUCCUGCUUUUUCUAUCUUCAUAAUGAUUGUAUGCACAGCAAAAUGAAUUUCCAGUACAUAAGAUAUUACCAUUUAGAGAGCUAGGUGUCUAAGUUUUUACUGUCUGGAAAUUAAGACUUCAAUAUUUUUGGGUCAGUUUUCCCAAUAUACAUGCUGACUACAGUAUAAAUUUUAAAUUAAUCAUAUAGUUACUGUAAAUACUGAAAAAUGAGGCAGAAGAACCCAAGAGCCCCAUACUGCUUUUUUUUUCUUUUUCUCCUGGGAGGUACUGACCAAUUUAUUCUCUACAAAAGUGACGUUAAUAGUUUGCUGGGUUUAUUUCAUACGCUACUUAACUAUACAUUUUUCUUCCACAACCAUCAUAAAUUCUUUUUUAAUUUUAUAAAACCAACUGUAAAAUUCUUUGCAUGUUGCAAGUGAGAGAACAAGUGAGAUCAUCUGAGCAGAAAAAGUAAUUUAUUUUUAUGAAAGUGGGAUGAAACAGAAGGAAAAAAAUGAAGAAACUCCACAAAAGAGGAGGAUAACUGGGAGCACGGCAGUGUUAACACAAUACUGAUGGACAUGACAAAUAAGGUGAAACCAGCAACUCCUGCUACGCUUUCUUCUGGCAAAACUGGUACUGAUAACAGAGAGGAACUCCAUUUUGAUCUAUCACAUUUUAUGACUAAGAACUUACUGAGAAGAAGGACUUUGCCUAAAUAUCUUUCUAGCCCAUUGUCCCCUUAGACGUAUGUUUUUAAGUCAAGUGUGACUGGGUCAAAGUUCUGUUUUACUGUGAAACUUUUGAAAAAUCAAGUA